UGGUGCCGUUAGUUCGUCAAGUUUACAGAAAGUUGUAAGACUGGUAUUUCACAUUUUGAAGUUUAAAUUGAUGAUAGAUUAUAAAUGGGACAUGCCGAGUCUGCUUUAAAGACUACAUAUGAUUCAGGGCUCUGAAGUUGAUGAAGUAGCAUGAUGUCUUCUCUUCGAAGAUGAUGUCUUUUUUUUAUCUUUUCUAGAAAAUGAACUGGACUUCUUCCGGGAGCUGCAGGGAGACAAAAAGUUCUCUGAUUCUGCAACUCUCUUGCAGCCAACACUAAGAAUCCAUCCACUUUUUCCCAAAUCCUUAGUUUGCUGCUUCCUAUUGAUGGAAACAAGCUUCUUACAGUCUCUCUCGAAAAGGUACUCCUCCAACUCGAAAGGCUCCUGUUGCUCUUGCAGAAGCUGUCUCAAUGGUGAUCUUGGGGUCAUGGAUGCUAUGAAGAAGAAAGGUUGAAAUGCAAGUAGAGAAUGGAAGAACAUAUAAUAAUUACAAAGACAAUUCAGGUUUAGUUGGAGGAGAGGAUUAUGUGGUGCAGAUUAAUAAAUCAUGGAUAGAUCAGAAAAAGCCUACCUGUCAGAAUCUGAUUUAUCAUUGCCUUGAAACAGACUGAGAUACCGAAGAAGAGCGAGACACACACGCAACACAACAGUUACUAGAGAUAUACGGAGGAUCUCAUUACAACAAUGCAGGUGCCUUAGCUCCAUUUGGUCAAUGAUUAACUGACCAUUUGAACUGAUAUAAGAAAAAGAACAGAAAAAAAAAAAGGUACAGUAGUUUUGGUUGUCGUCAGAAAGGCUACAGAGAGCCUAUUUAUGGUGUUUGAAAGGCAGUGGUCCAGAGGCAAUUGGUUCAUUGUGAGGAGUCUGAUUAACAUGGAAAUCUGAGGAAAUUUAUUGAUAUUCCCAGUUGGCCAGCAAUGGCCACAAGAAAUCUGUUCUUUUCUUGUAUCAUUUUUGAAGUUUAAUUUAGAGUUCCAUAGUUAAAGUGGAAAUUGAUGGGAGUUUGUUUUUUAUCAUGGCCUCCCCUUCUGGCCCCGACCCCAUCUUUGGAUUUCUGUGACUCUAAUAAGAUCCUAUAUUCUGAGACAUUAUUUUCCUACGGAUACAACAAAAUUAUGUUUAUGUUUGCUUCCCUUUGAACUUGUUACUCUAUUUUUUAUUUCAGAAAAGAACAAAAAUUAUUUAUUUUGCGUGGACUGUGUAUUAUUUUUUAUGAUUGAGAGAUGAAUAUCUCAUUCUCACUGCUAUUAGUGUGUACUUUGAGAUACU